UUGUUAUGGGAUCGCGCCGGCUGACCGCCACAAGGUCGGCCCUACAAAUCCCAUAUAGGGUCAUGUGGGGUCCUAUAGGGUUCUAUGGGGUCUUAUGCGGUGUUAUAGGGUCGUGUGGGGUCAUAUGGGGUCAUAAUGUGUUGUUAUGGGAUCGCGCCGGCGGACCGCCACAAGGUCGGCCCUACAAAUCCCAUAUAGGGUUUAUGGGGUGGUAUAGGGUCCUAUGGGGUCUUAUAGGGUCGUGUGGGGUCAUAUGCGGUCAUAAUGUGUUGUUAUGGGAUCGCGCCGGCGGACUGGCACAAGGUUGGCCCUACAAAUCCCAUAUUGGGUUGUGUGGGGUGUUAUAGGGUCCUAUGGGGUCUUAUAGGGUCGUGUGGGGCCAUAAGGGGUCAUGAUGUGUUGUUAUGGGAUCGCACCAGCAGGCCAGCCCUAUAAAUCCUAUAUAGGGUCAUAUGGGGUGGUGUGGGGUCUUAUAGGGGCGUGUGGGGUCGUAUGGGGUCAUAAUGUGUUAUUAUGGGAUUGCACCAGCAGGCCGGCCCUAUAGAUCCCAUAUAGGGCUUUAUGGGGUGGUGUGGGGUCAUAUGGGGAUAUAUAGGGUCCUGUAGGGUUGUAUGGGGCCGUGUGGGCUUAUGUGGGUUUUAUGGGGUUCCUAAUGGGUUCUAUGGGGUCUGUGGGUUCUAUGGGGUCCCUAUGGGAUCUACGGGUUCUAUGGGGUCUCUAUGGGUUCUGUGGGAUCCCAGUGGGUUCUGUGGGGUCCCAAUGGGCUCUAUGGGUUCUAUGGGAUCCCAAGGGGUUCUAUGGGGUCCCAAUGGGUUCUAUGGGAUCCCAAUGGGCUCUAUGGGUUCUAUGGGGUCCCAAUGGGCUCUAUGGGUUCUAUGGGAUCCCAAUGGGCUCUAUGGGUUCUAUGGGGUUGCUGUGGGUUCUAUGGGUUCUAUGGGAUCCCAAUGGGCUCUGUGGGUUCUAUGGGGUCCCAAUGGGCUCUGUGGGUUCUAUGGGUUCUAUGGGGUCCCUGUGUGCUCUAUGGGUUCUAU
rnacentral:lncRNA from 1 species